CAUCCAUAGAGCGUUGAAACACCGCUUCCCGCACAAUCACCGAAGUUAAGCAAGGUCAAGUCUGGUCAGUAUCAAGAUGGGUGAUCGUUUGGGAAUACCUGAUGCUGUAAG